AGACGAUCGCGUGCCCCUGGCAUGAGGAAAGUCCGAGCACCACAGAGCAGGGUGCCAGCUAACGGCUGGUGGAGGCGACUCCAAGGACAGUGCAACAGAAACAAACCGCCGGUUUUCCGGUAAGGAUGGAAAGGCGAGGUAAGAGCUCACCCCGGACCUGGCAACAGGCCCGCGCUGUAAACCCCACCCGGUGCAAGAUGCAAUGGAACGUAUACGGCUGCUCGCUGUGUUCCGCAAUCGCUAGAGCCCGCGCGGCGACGCCGGGCCUGGAUAGAUGAUCGCCCCUGACAGAACUCGGCUUACGACUGCGCUC
rnacentral:RNase_P_RNA from 1 species